rnacentral:rRNA from 1 species
UAGGGAAUCUUCGGCAAUGGGGGCAACCCUGACCGAGCAACGCCGCGUGAGUGAAGAAGGUUUUCGGAUCGUAAAGCUCUGUUGUAAGAGAAGAACGUGUGUGGGAGUGGAAAGUUCACACAGUGACGGUAACUUACCAGAAAGGGACGGCUAACUACGUGCCAGCAGCCGCGGUAAUACGUAGGUCCCGAGCGUUGUCCGGAUUUAUUGGGCGUAAAGCGAGCGCAGGCGGUUUAAUAAGUCUGAGGUUAAAGGCCGUGGCUUAACCAUUGUUCGCUUUGGAAACUGUUAUACUUGAGUGCAGAAGGGGAGAGUGGAAUUCCAUGUGUAGCGGUGAAAUGCGUAGAUAUAUGGAGGAACACCGGUGGCGAAAGCGGCUCUCUGGUCUGUAACUGACGCUGAGGCUCGAAAGCGUGGGGAGCAAACAGG